UCUGUAUAUAAUUCAAUUUUAUUUUCUCUCCCCUUUUUUAUUAUUUUUAUUUUUAGCUGAAAAGACGUAAAGGCAGUCAGCCCAGUGGUGUUUCUGGAGAGGGAUUCCUUCAGAAAUGGAGAAGACAGAAAGCUGCGGAGGCAGAUAUUUGCAGCAUGUUCGAGUGAGCAUGAUGACCACGAGUGUGUGUCGAACUUUUCAUGACCUGAUGACUGUGUUUCCCAAUCCUGAUCCUGGAGAACCCCAGCACUGCACGGUUUUGGUGUCUCUCUUAUCUGCCUUGGAGUCUUCACUGAUGAGCUGAUGAGUUGAAUCAGGAUUGUUUGAGGAUAACACUGCAGUUCUCCAUCAUGCACAAGGACUCACCUCGUUAACUCUUUAUCCCCCACACACACAGAUAUGGUCCCUGGAUCAGUGAUUAGACUUUGCAGUGGUUUGAUUUUUGCAGAUGUAACUUUGUUUUAUUUAUAAGCUCAUAAUGAAUACAUUACAGAACCAGUGAUGAAAACAAUAGUUAAAAAUAGUAUUUUUCGUAUUGAUAAAGCAUUUUGUUCUCUUUUUCAAGCUUCAUACAGUGAACUUUUUAGACUUUAAUUAAGAGUUUUAGUAAAGGAGAUAUUCAUACACAGUCAUCCCCUAGCUCCAGUCAUUAAGUGAAUUCAUGAUGUUAUGUCAAAGCUAGCAGGUGUUUGUUUUCCUGAACACUUUCUCUGUCUUCCAUUGUUCAGACAAUCAGUGUUUAUUUGAUGCUGUGCUGAUAGAGUUUUAUAGAUGAUAUUGCACACUUGACAUGCAUGUCUUCAUGGUGUUUUUUUGUGAGUUUGAAACAUUUACAUUGUGUUGUAUAACAUUUUGGUCAAUUUAAUUUUUUUAAUAAAAUUGAUCUUUUUCCAGUGUUCUCUGAAAGACAUACUGUAUUUACUGUUUUGUUUUUUAAUAAAAGCAUUU